CGCGUGAUCGAUGAAGGCUUAGGGUUGUAAAGAUCUUUCAGGUGGGAAGAUAAUGACUGGUACCACCAGAAGAAGCCCCGGCUAACUCCGUGCCAGCAGCCGCGGUAAUACGGAGGGGGCUAGCGUUAUUCGGAAUUACUGGGCGUAAAGCGCACGUAGGCGGAUCAGAAAGUCAGAGGUGAAAUCCCAGGGCUCAACCUUGGAACUGCCUUUGAAACUCCUGGUCUUGAGUUCGAGAGAGGUGAGUGGAAUUCCGAGUGUAGAGGUGAAAUUCGUAGAUAUUCGGAGGAACACCAGUGGCGAAGGCGGCUCACUGGCUCGAUACUGACGCUGAGGUGCGAAAGCGUGGGGGACAAACAGGAUUAGAUACCCUGGUAGUCCACGCCGUAAACGAUGAAUGCAGUCGUCGGGCACAUGCUGU
rnacentral:rRNA from 1 species